rnacentral:rRNA from 1 species
AGUGAACGCUGGCGGUAGGCCUAACACAUGCAAGUCGAACGGCAGCACAGUAAGAGCUUGCUCUUACGGGUGGCGAGUGGCGGACGGGUGAGGAAUACAUCGGAAUCUACUUUUUCGUGGGGGAUAACGUAGGGAAACUUACGCUAAUACCGCAUACGACCUACGGGUGAAAGCAGGGGAUCUUCGGACCUUGCGCGAGUGAAUGAGCCGAUGCCGGAUUAGCUAGUUGGCGGGGUAAAGGCCCACCAAGGCGACGAUCCGUAGCUGGUCUGAGAGGAUGAUCAGCCACACUGGAACUGAGACACGGUCCAGACUCCUACGGGAGGCAGCAGUGGGGAAUAUUGGACAAUGGGCGCAAGCCUGAUCCAGCCAUACCGCGUGGGUGAAGAAGGCCUUCGGGUUGUAAAGCCCUUUUGUUGGGAAAGAAAAGCAGCAGGUUAAUACCCCGCUGUUCUGACGGUACCCAAAGAAUAAGCACCGGCUAACUUCGUG